rnacentral:rRNA from 1 species
GACGAACGCUGGCGGCGUGCUUAACACAUGCAAGUCGAACGAAAAUACCAAGCUUGCUUGGUUGAUUAGUGGCGAACGGGUGAGUAACACGUGAGUAACCUGCCCCCUACUUUCCUGGAUAACUGCUCGAAAGGGUAGCUAAUACGGGAUAUUCUGACCAGCCUGCAUGGGUUGGUUUGGAAAGGUUGUUUUUCUGGUAAGGGAUGGGCUCGCGGCCUAUCAGCUUGUUGGUGGGGUGAUGGCCUACCAAGGCUUUGACGGGUAGCCGGCCUGAGAGGGUGGACGGUCACACUGGGACUGAGAUACGGCCCAGACUCCUACGGGAGGCAGCAGUGGGGAAUAUUGCACAAUGGGCGCAAGCCUGAUGCAGCGACGCCGCGUGAGGGAUGAAGGCCUUCGGGUUGUAAACCUCUUUCGUCAGGGAACAAGGCACUGCUUUUUUGGUGGUGUUGAGGGUACCUGGAUAAGAAGCGCCGGCUAACUACGUG